CUAUUUCCCCAAUUUCCCUUCUCUCCCUCUUUCGCUAUCUUCAAUUCCAUCUCAGUGGCUGACAGAGGCAACGACGGACAGAGGCAAACCUAGAAAAAGCAAAGCUUCAAUCAUACAUGUGCUUGAAAUUCGCUUCAACUAAGCAAAAGAGUAUAACAGGUGCCUUUUAAUUUCAUCACCCAUAUUCUGUAUGAAGUUUUCUUCUUAUUUAAGGUGAACUUUUGAAGCAUUAUUUCUCUGUUUUCUCUUCAACAUUAACAUACAGAAUUAGUGGAAUGAAUGUGUGAUUUUGAUUUUGCUUCUUUCAGCCAGCUCUGACUCGGAUUUUUUUUGAAUUUCCAGAAAAUUCACAGUAUCU
rnacentral:lncRNA from 1 species